GACGAACCGUGCGAACGUUGUUCGGAUUCACUGGGCUUAAAGGGCGCGUAGGCGGGCCAGCAUGUCCGGGGUGAAAUCUUUCGGCUUAACCGGAAAAGGGCUUCGGAAACGGCUGGUCUUGAGGGAGGUAGGGGCAGGUGGAACUUCCGGUGGAGCGGUGAAAUGCGUAGAUAUGCGGAGGAACACCGAUGGCGAAGGCAAUCCCCUGGACCUGUACUGACGCUCAUGCACGAAAGCGUGGGGAGCAAACAGG
rnacentral:rRNA from 1 species